UCCACCCUUUCUUUCAUCGCACAAAUUAGUUUGUGCAAUGAAUAAUCCAUGCCAAAACUAUUCUUUUAUCACCCAUUAGUGUUAUGAUGAGAUUGGUUUUAAAUUGAAUUCAAAAGGUUUGAAUUUAAACCUAAAACCCUGUCCCUAUCCUUCCACACGUUGGGUCCUUGUGAAGGUGCCUAUUAUGUGCAACAAAAAGGAAGUAUUUCUGAUUGU
rnacentral:lncRNA from 1 species